AGUGUGUGUGUGUGUGUUUACCUUGUAACAAAGCCUUAUGAACAGGUGCAAACAGUAAAUCCUCUUUUGCAACCAAGAACUCAUUGCUGAGUAUGAGAUUUUGGUACUUGUGAGAAGGAAUAUG